rnacentral:miRNA from 1 species
AGGAAAAUUAUUAGGGUUGAUGCAAAAGUAAUUCCGGUUUUGGCCAUUACAAAAAAGUAAUGGCAUUUACUUUGGAAUUACUUUUGCACCCACCUAAUACUU